rnacentral:rRNA from 1 species
AUUGAACGCUGGCGGAAUGCUUUACACAUGCAAGUCGAACGGCAGCACGGACUUCGGUCUGGUGGCGAGUGGCGAACGGGUGAGUAAUGUAUCGGAACGUGCCCAGUCGUGGGGGAUAACGUAGUGAAAAUUACGCUAAUACCGCAUACGAUCUAUGGAUGAAAGCGGGGGAUCGCAAGACCACGCGCGAUUGGAGCGGCCGAUAUCCGAUUAGGUAGGUGGUGGGGUAAAGGCCCACCAAGCCAACGAACUGUAGCUGGUCUGAGAGGACGACCAGCCACACCGGAACUGAGACACGGUCCAGACUCCUACGGGAGGCAGCAGUGGGGAAUUUUGGACAAUGGGCGAAAGCCUGAUCCAGCCAUUCCGCGUGCAGGAUGAAGGCCCUCGGGUUGUAAACUGCUUUUGUACAGAACGAAAAGGUUUCUACUAAUACUAGGAGCUCAUGACGGUACUGUAAGAAUAAGCACCGGCUAACUACGUGCCAGCAGCCGCCGUAA